ACUUUUUUUUUUAAACAAUGCUUUCAAACUGAAUUGUAUUGAAGAAAACUGUUACUUUAACACACAUGCAGGUGUCACAAACCCUCUCAAAAUAGCAAAAAUCAACAGCAAAAAAGUAAGGAAUACUAAUUUCUGUACCACUUCCAUUUUGGUUUGAUGCCCAGGGCUGGGCACAGCAUCUUGUCUAACGUUCAUCAGUGUCGAAACCGUCACAAAAGGACUGUCAGACUGAACCUGUGUCCAGCAAACUUUCAUUCCUUUCUUCAGAGCUCUCUUUGGGAUCGUUUCCUUUGUGUGAAGUUAAGGCUGAUGUUUCUUAAGUGGCUUACGUGUACUUUUAGGUAACGGUUUUAAGUGGCAAAGUCUGGUUUUAGGGUAAGUUCAACUUCAGAAGUCUCAAGUACCUUAAAGCAGUGCGAGUGUUUGAUGAGCUAACAGCGAUUCCCAAGCUUUCCCUACACCCAGCGAGCUGUGGCUCUGGAUCUGUGAGCAAACGCUGUUCAAAGCACCACAAACCACCAAAGUUGGUAAGUCUGAACAGAGCACUUUAGUUCUGUCAAACAACCCUUACAUCUGUUUCUAAAAGGCACAAAUCCAUCUUUUCACCCCCCAAAAAGCAAGGCAGCUUGUUUUAGAAUUGUAGUUCUGGCUUUACUGGCUGAAAGAACCAGUUCUUAAAACCUAUUUUUAUACAUUGAGAGAUGGGGAUUUCAAAGAAAGCUAUUUAUUCCUGUCUUGUGUCGUAGAAGGAUCAAAAGAAUUAGUUCUCAAAAUGGAUUUCACUGUGGAAUAGAAGUGAUUUUUAAAUGCAAAGGAGAAAGGGAAUCCCAAGUCCUUCCCUGCAGGGGCACGGAGAAGUUAGCGCCGAGGCUUCCCUCGGGAGGAGCGAGUGACACGCGGUGCCGUCUCAGAAGCGUUUUCCAUUUGGGAGCGUUGGCAUUGGGAAUAGUGGAAAUGGGAUGGAAUUCCCAGCAAGCUCCUCAUCACGCUGGCAGCCUGGGAGUGAAGUGUUAAUAAAUAGGCCAGGCUCGACGCCCAGCAGCAGGAGGAGCGCUCCACGAGGCUCCUCCUUCAGAGCACGCUGCACUCCCCUUUUUGUGGAACCUUUUCAUGCCACGGUCCGUAAAUCCUGGCAAACUAAGUGCCAGGCUUCCAAAAAUAACAGGUUAACUAACGCCAGGCCUUUGCCAUUACCCGCAUUCCAUCCUGUGCUGUUCCUGGCUGGAGCUGCAGGGUGAGGGUACUCAGAAAUGAAACGCGGCCUGGUUCCUCCCCAGAAUAAACCUGACAUCAUCUGAAAUGCCAGCACGUGGGUUCGCUGCCUGGUUGGUUACCAGAGGGCACGGAGCUCGGAGCUGUGCGUUCAGGAUAGUCUGGAAUGCUGUUAAAUGAGAGGGAUGUGAGCAGAGCUGGAGAGAAAUCCGUGCGACUGAGCGCUUCCAGGGGCCAGGAAACGCGUUGGGUGGGAGAGGCGGCAGCCUGACGACACCUCCUGUACCGAAUCCUUGGAUCUAGCCCUUUGCUCCCUUCCAUUUUUCCUCACAUAAGGAAGAACCGUGUUGGUACUGAAGCGGAAAGCAAAUCCUGUGUGUUUUCAAGUGCAGUUUAAUAGCUUCUCUUGGACAUAACUUUCCACUAGGAAUGAAGGAAACUCCUGCUCCAUUUGAGCCAUUUCUUCUACUUCGGUCAAUUCUAGUAUUACAAAUUGUGCAUGUAACUUUAUAAAUAUUUUAAAUAGUUUUGUAAAUAUUUAAUAUUCAGCUAAUUUGAUUUUGAAUUGUAAAUGUCAAGUAUUCUGGUAUUGGGAUUUUUAUGUUUUAUUAUACUUUGUUAAAAGUAAAAUUGUACAUUUUUAGAAUGUUUUUAUCUGAGUAAAUUUAAUGUAUGGAAAAUAAAGAAUUAAACAGAA